CCUCCGUCAACAACGUGUGCUCUCCCAACCUCAACACCGGCAACGGCACCGGCGAAGGGGACAUCGCCACACCAGCCUCCACCGGCGGCACCGUGCUGGAGAGGUUGGUGGUGAGCUCCCUGGAAGCUCUAGAGAGCUGUUUUGCUAUGGGCUCCUCCAAUGAAAAGGAGAAGAACAAGGCUGCGGCGUUGGAG